ensembl:lncRNA
CGCCGCGCCCCGCCCCCACCGCGACCUCUCCGCGCUGCGCUACACGUCCCCGCGACCACGAUCCUUCAGGCGAGGAGACCCGGGAUCAUGGUCCCGCUCUGCUGCCCGUCAGCGGGCGGCUUUUCAGCAGAACCCACGGGGACCCUGUGGAGAAACGGGAUGCGGAAUCUGUGAGCAGGAGCCGCUGCUUUUUCCUUCACUUGCUUUGGCCUCAACCUCGGGGAUUGUUGCGGGAGGAUGAGCGUGAAGAGGAAGAAGCCUGGGCUGGUCAUCAGCUGGCAGAAGUCCUUCUCCCUCCUGGCUCCUUGGAGGAAAGGGAAAGGAGACAGAGACGCGGUUCUGGACAGAGAGGUUGUUCUGACCAAAAUGAAGCUCUUCAGCAACAUCCACAAGAUGCUUCCGACGGCCGACGACUCGGCCUCCACCAUCUCAACUGUGUCCGUUUCGGAGCAGGACGUCUGUGACCCCAGCAAACCCUCUGAAGUACGUUCCCACCGCGUUGACGAGCCGGGCCGGCUUCAGACGGAGUCCGUCUCACGGCACCCGGCCUCGGACUCUCGGCUGACGAGGUCGUACAAGUUUGAGUCGGAGGACUCUGGAGUGGAGCUGCCCAGCGGCGCGGACUCUCCGUCCACCCCGACGAGCUCUGAGCAGAGCUUCACUGUCCACAGCCGAGAGUCCUCCUGCAACCGGAACUCCGACGCCGGCGCCGCCCCCGAUGACCUGGUGCCACUCACGCAGCUCCCGGAGAGCAAACAGGCGCCGGGCUCAGCGGACGAUGGUGCGAGUGCAGCAGCGGGGGCUCUGAAUGACGGUUUCAUACACUCAGAGGAGCUCAGUUCAGCCGUGGGUGCAGAGCGGCGCGCAGGUGAGGAGGUGGACGGGGACCAGAGCGGGGGGUCGGGAGCCAGCCCUGAGAGAGACGAGGACAUGCCGGGACAGCUUGAGGAAACCUGCGCCGAAACCGAGAGGACCUGCUUCCGAGGAGACGGCAGCCACUUCGAGCCGGCGCCUCGGCGGAGCCGUGAGACCAGAGACAGCCUGGAGGACUACAUGGACCAAUGCUGCAGACUGAGUGAGGCACAGCAAGCGAGUUCCAACCCUCCGGGCUCGGGCCUGGAUUACCUGGAUCACAUCUGCCAACUCAUCGCCAGGAUCGGCCACCUGCAGGAGAACAACCUCCAGCUGCAGCGGCAGAUCUACAGCCUUCAGAAGGACAGCAGGACGGCAAAGACCAAAGAGGACUUUUUCCAGCAUCACUGCAGCUGUGGGGCGGCCUGCUUGUCUUUCCAGGACAUUCAGAAGAGACAGUCCAGAAGUGACUUCUCGUCCCCCAGUGGGACCCUCUCUGACCUGUCCACCAUCCCCGAGGUCACCCGGCCUCCACUCUUACCAGCCCGAGGAGGUAAUGUUAUGACGUGUUUUACUUACUGGAAGGAAAUUAUACAGAAAUACUGGAGAAUAUUAUCAUACACAUGCAAAUGAGAAGUGUUGAGCUGGAAAAACCGUCCUACAAGUGUGAGUUUGAUGGUACAAACCAUGAAUAUUUAGAGAGGGUUGGUUGGUCUAGUAGAUGUGUAAUAAUGCACGUUCCCCCCUCACUUACCUUUGUUAGACUGCAGAUCCCAAGAUGUUGCUUUGGUGGGUUCAUCGUGAUCACAUCUGAUCAGAAUUGAUGGAACCAACGAGCAGCAGCAGGAAAUGCAGGGAUGAAGUUAUUACCAGUAACUUCUCUAUAUGCAACUUACUGUAAUUCAGUAAAGGCACUAGGCUUCGUUCUUUGGUGCACACUGUUUCCCAACCACGAAACAGUCGUUUUCUCUGGAGGUCACUGAAUCCACCCUAAACAAACACACGUGCACGACUGCAUAUUAAUGUUUUCCUGACGUGUUCCUCCAUUGGAUCAGUUACUCCAGGUAUGCUAUUGGAAGGCUCUCGUAGGGCUUAGGUUUCCUGCUAUCAUUAUUGUUUUCGUGGCAGGUCACGGUGGCUGACCGCUGGGUGGUCCUAAGGGGAAAAUUAAAUUAUGACUCAAGUGGGACACGGGGCGGAAUUCCCGGCAUCCCGCUCAGAGUCCACAGGAACAUAUGAUGUCCCGUGGACUCUGGAAUGCCUUCGUUCUUCCUCUCAAAGUCAGGAAACUGGAUCUGGAGAAGAGGUUAAGAAAUCAGGACGGGGUGGGGGGGGCAGAUUAGGUACAAUAAGGGUUAAAUAGCUCUCGCUGGGCCACGGUGAAGUAGAACCAUACAGGGUUAAUUUAGUUCCCAACGGAUAAUACGUGGCGGUUCCUGGUAGAGCCUCUUCUGAAGGUUGCAUCUCAGUUCUCCAUGGACUUGGAGGAAGGCUUACAUUGAUGUGGGAUGUGGCAUUCGCUGACAAACAGGAAGAGGACAUAUAGUACCUUCCUUUCAACAACGCAAAGUGCUGCACAUCAGUGGUCCCCCCCCACCCGGGUCCCGGUGCCGUGGGCACCAAGCCGCACAGGAAGAAUAAAUAACCUUUUUUUCUCCAAAUGACCCAAUUCUCUUCCCAAUUACAAGAACGUGUCCCUUUUGUCACGUGUCAACUGGUUUCCCGACGCCUGCGUGUUUGUGCUGUGGUCCUUGCAGAGCGCCACAGUAUUUGGCGUUAUUCCCUUAGUGAGCUGGAACCACGUCUGUGUGGAGGAAACCUUCUGCUGUCGGGGGAUGUGAAACCUUGUCUUAGAGCACUAAUCUAAGCAGACAGCUCUGACUGGUACUACGAUGGAUCUGUAUCCACUCGCAUCGCCUGCUUUCAAAGAGUUGGAGAUAGAAUAGUGAUGCAUUACAUGCUGUGAACUUGGCCACUUUCGAUGGCUGCUGGUCCCCCACACACUGGGGUCCAACAGCGAUGGACGAUGUUUCAGACAUGAGCGGUGCGGGUUUGACACCCGUCCAACUGUGGAGGACGGGCUUGUACCGGAGGAGUUACACCGAGGGGGAAGAGCCCUUCCUCAGCCACAGCACCGAGGCGCUCUCCAUCCCCCAGCGAAGGCUCAGCGAAAACUGCACAUGGGGACGAGUCAAAGACCUGGUGAGGAAGACUAAGGUGAAGAACCAAAGCCGGCUGCGCCUGAAUUCUGCCUCCCUGGAGAGGUCCUGCCCACAGCUCUACAUGUGAGAAACACUCGCGGACUGUAAAUGAAUAGAUAUGAAUAGACUGUUUGUGCUGUUCUCUGAAUAGAAGAAACGUGGGCAGAUGUUAACUUGCUUGUAACGUCAUGAUCGCGAGGGGAAACUUGUUAUAAUGCCGCAGCAGAUUGCUUUGGUUUUUCAUUAAUGACUAAAUUGAGAUUUACAGUAAAUAUGUUAGCUGCUACUGAAGGAAAUACUGCUGUUAAAAAGCAUCUUAUUUCUUUAAAGUGUUUGCACAAAUGAAAGUACUACUUUUUAAAAUAAUCAUGUCAUUUUACUUAUAACAAUUAAGAAAAUGAUGCAAUUAAUUGUGAUUGUUGCCACGUUAAAAGAUAAGAAAAGUAGAAGCAUCGUGAACACUGAAAAUCCUUAAAUCAGUUUUCCUAUCAAAGAUAACACCUUGUUUUGGGAGGGAUGUCGAAACAUACUAGAUGGAAAUGGCGCUGCCUCUACUUCCUGGCUUUCUUGAGAAGAAGAAGGAAUGACGGAAAUGCAGAAUGGAAUGAGAAAGGAGUGUCGGAUGGUGGUUCUCGGGAGGUGGAGCAGUAUCUGUUGGGAGGUGUUGGCCCUGGAUCCUGACCGGGGGCUGGCAUGGGCCCAGCAGAACAUGAGGGGGGUUGGAGAGUCACGGUAUGCCUCGAGGAGGGGGAGGAUUGCCCCCCGGCCCGUCCAGGACUCGUUAGAAGCAACCGCACCCUCCUGCCGAGACACAUGCAACGGGCGCCUGCAGCGCUGACGAGCCGCAAUGAGGGGAAAUAUGUGUCUGUCACAGCCGCAGGCCGAGCUGCUGGGACAGAAACACCGUAAACACGAUAAUAACGGUCUCCUCUUCUUUACAGGCCUGACGUGGAACCAUUAGAACCCGCUUGCAGAGACAGGAGCUCCAUGAUAGCCUUGGGCCACCACAGCAAACUGGACGUCCCUUGGUUACAAUAAACAUGGAGGAGGGACACGCAUCCGUUCUGGGAGAAUAACCACCACGCACCAUCCAGCAAUCCUCAAGCCAUUAUUUUAUUAAAGGCUGUUGAAGUGGUCCGAUAAAGGAUGGGCUCCGGGAGAGAAGGGACACAUUCUGGGGCUUUACAAUCCACUACAUGAUGCGGCUGCUGCAAUGCUGCCAUUUUUGGGCUAAAAAAAUAAAGAAAAAUUGACUUGAUACACAACUAAGAUUACUCGGAAUGUGCCUCAGUCUGAACACACUUUCAGAAGCUUGUAAACGUUAAAGUUGGCUGGACGUUUUCUUUGGAAUGCACAGUGCAAAAUAUACUAAAUCAAUAUUGUAAAGUUGAUAUUCUCGCUAUCAAAAGAACAUUUCUUGAUCGCUAAGUCACACCCUCAUCUUUGCACAAUGGAUGGAGAACAAACGAUAAUAACACAGAUAACAAUUGUCAUUUGUUUAUGUCAGAGUAACAAACAGCUGGUUGGUUGAUUGGGACAUUGUGAUGCAUUUCAUUUCCAACGUCACACUUGUACCAUUAUGUGGUUUGGAUGUCAGGACUCUACUGCAUGCUAUUGUACUCCAAAACGGGAAAACUGUAAGUAAACUAUUGCAUUUAAGUAGAAUUUUGUAAGACAAUAACUUUUUCUAAUAAGUUAUAUCUGAGGUUUAUCUGCAUGGCGUCAGACAACUAUAUAUGUAUUUUAUGUUUCUGUAUGGAUAUUGCAUUCAUAUUCAAAUGUAUUUUUUAAUAAAAAUUCAAUCCAAAGGAAUUGAUGCAGAAUGAG